rnacentral:tRNA from 1 species
GGAGAGAUGGCUGAAUGGUUAAAGCGUUUGUUUGCUAAACAAAUUUACUUAAUUGUAUUAUGGGUUCAAAUCCCAUUCUCUCCG